rnacentral:rRNA from 1 species
CCUGACCUCGAUUCGAGCGGAAUACCC